rfam:Aeromicrobium sp. Root472D3 contig_1, whole genome shotgun sequence.
UUGGUUCUGGUUCACGCCACCGCACUCCGCGGGACGACCCAGCGACC